GGUUAACAUUGUUAUUCAUACUUACCGGCUCAGGUAGGCAUCUCUAAAGAAACUUGUCACUGGAAAUAGAGUCUCAACUCGUCGUCCUUUACUGCUUUAACUUCCCUCUGGAAUCACAUUCAGAUAGAGGAAUGAUUAUUUCACAAUAAAUGCCUUUGGUCUUGACUGUCACGUCUAAUUGUACUCCAAUCCCUCCUCACGUUCAUUGGUCUGACUGGGGCAUAUGCUCAUUCUGGAACUAAUCCCAGUUCUGGAUUGUGCCCCGACAAUGCUGUUCAUUGACGGGCUUAGGCUUUCUCCCUCCUGAGCCAAUCACUAUGGUAGAAAGGAUGGAAUGACUGCUCUCUUCCAACAACAUCACUGUGACAUCAUAAGAGAGAUUUGAAAAGCAUCUUGGAGGACUUUCUAUGUCAAGCUCCCCAGAUGCACACCUUGAGACUAGGAUUUGCUGUAAGUGGUUUAUGAAAGCUCCCAGGAGAACCUGGUGCAGGAAUUGAGGAAGCAGGACAGGGAAGGGAAAGAAGCUAGCCAGGGAAGGGAAGAGAGUAUGAUUUCAGGCAAAGUUCCCACGAUGGCAGUGUCGGCAGGAUCCUGCAGAGGCACUCUGCGAUGUAAAUAACACCUUAAGGGCAUCUAGACCUGAGGCAAGAGAGCUGGACUUUCCUGCUUCUCUGGCAUCCUUCAGCCCCAGCCUCAGGUCACCCCAAAGGAUGGAGGUGGGCAAAGGGCUCCAGGAGACUGAGCGAGUCCCUCAGAAACAAUAAAGGCAUUCAGGGAGUUGUGGGCGGGCACUGGCAGUGUCCACAGCAGGGCGACGAUCACUGAGUCUGCCAUCAGGCUAAAAGAAUAUAUAUCAACAUUUCCAAACAUGUGCAAAGAGGGAAAAAGGGGAUGGAGGAGGUGAGGGAGAUAGUUCCUGAAUUUGAAAAAUGCUGGAUUAAAUAAAAUUAAAUAGAAGAUUUUUCUGCAAGUCUUUUAUGAGCCUUUACUACACAUUUUGGCAUUGUGAGGGAAACCACAAAACCCUUUUUAUAGGACUAUCUCUUAGGGUACAUCUUGUGAGAUGUGGUUUGGGAAAUGGUUCUGUGACCAAGAGACUGUUACAGGCUUUUAAAGUGACAUAAUCAGACCAAGAUUUAAGGUAUGGAGUGAAAAAGGAUGGACCAGAAGCAGAGGGAUCAGAGAUGUUGAGAUCACCUUGCCUUCAGCAAAGGACAGAAGAAAUGAUGUUAUGGCAGUUCACAACCCACCCUUUAAGAAGACUGGCAGAUCCCACCUCAGUCUCUUAGAAACUUGAGAUACCUUGUAAGAAAGCUGACUACCUGUAAGAGAAACCACAUGGAAAUCAUGAGAAUCCUUGGGAAAGGAGAGAGGCUCUGCUGAGCCCAGCCUUCCAGCCAAUUCCAGCAGGGUGAUGGAGCAUCAUGCGUGAUUCUCACAGAGCUCAAUAGACGUCGGGCAAGUGGAAGGCCAUCAGACCUCUCAGGUCACAGCAUCCAGAGCAUCCCGUUGGACACAUAAAGACUAAGUUACUUAACUGUGGAGAUUCCUCUCUCUUUCUCUCUCUCCUUCUUUCUCCAAACCCAGAUGUUUGGCAUCUCACCAAUAUCGUCCAAGACCUUCUGGAUUGGGAACAAAAUAAAUGUAGAGAAAGAGGAAGCAGUUUUAGUGAAAGCACCACAGGGAGCAAACCAAUAAAAAAGCAGGAAACUCAGCACAAGCCCGAUUUAUGUCGCUGCAUUUCCCUAGCACUCAGCCUAUUCCUCCAAACCCCAACACACACACACUCGUGUGCACACACACGUGCACUCACACAUGCACAUGUGCACACACACACCACAAGCGCCUGCUCCUAUUAGCUUUCUUUCCUGCUCUCACUUUUCAUUUUAAAGUCAAACAUUGGGUAAAAUUCUCUUUUUAUUUCACUCUCCUUCCCAUCUCUCUGAAAGAGCUUCAGAAGGGGAGUUUUGCAUGAGCGUCCUGAGGGCUCGUGGAUCUGAGACUGUACAGCUCCCUCACCUCCACAUUUCCCUGAUGGUCCUAUCUCUUUUUAAUAGUCAAUAAAACAUUGCUAUAGCCUCUAUUUUAGUUUCUGUUUCUAGACAACAAGAAAGAGAGAAAAGGUAGAAAGGAAGGAAGGGAGGGAGGGAGGAAGGAAAGAAGGGAGGAAGGAAGAAAGGAAGGAAGGGAAAGGAAGGAAGGAAAAGGAAGGAAGGAAAAGAAAGAAAGAAAGAAAAAGAAAGGAAGAAAGAAAGAGACCCAGUCUAUAAACAAAAACAUCAUGGCUUUCCCUUUUUCAACAGCUGGGGACAAUCAUAGCACUUUUGAGUUUUGUUUUGUUUUGUUUUGUUUUGUUUCUGUCAGGAGGCAGAGCCCCAUAGAAGUGAUGGUUCUCUUGGUGGGAACACAGAAGAAGCAAGUUGAGAAUGAGCACUUUGGGACAGGCAGGUCUGGUAGCCAAAAGCAGAUUUUGAUUAAAGUAGAG
ensembl:lncRNA